rnacentral:rRNA from 1 species
CGGGGGAGCACCACAACGGGUGGAGCUUGCGGUUUAAUUGGAUUCAACGCCGGAAAUCUUACCGGGACCGACAGCAAUAUGAAGGCCAGGCUGAAGACUUUGCCGGAUUAGCUGAGAGGUGGUGCAUGGCCGUCGUCAGUUCGUACUGUGAAGCAUCCUGUUAAGUCAGGCAACGAGCGAGACCCACGCCCACAGUUGCCAGCGUACUCUCUGGAGUGACGGGUACACUGUGGGGACCGCCGCUGCUAAAGCGGAGGAAGGAAUGGGCAACGGUAGGUCAGUAUGCCCCGAAUAUCCCGGGCUACACGCGAGCUACAAUGGUUGGUACAAUGGGUAUCUACCCCGAAAGGGGACGGGAAUCUCCUAAAACCAAUCUUAGUUCGGAUUGAGGGCUGCAACUCGCCCUCAUGAAGCUGGAAUCCGUAGUAAUCGCGUUUCAACAGAACGCGGUGAAUACGUCCCUGCUCCUUGCACAC